UCCAGGGGCGAUGAAGGGGUUAGACUGGGU
rnacentral:piRNA from 1 species